UGCACCGGAAGUGGCAUUAGAACCGGAUGUGUAUGAGCGGCGUCACUGUGUUUUGGUAGUGGUGGUGGUGUUUUUUAUUGCAGAGGAAUUGAAUUAAACUUACAGAUUGAUGUCGUUUGGUGAAACUCAGAACAGCGGGCGGCGUAGUAAAUGGGACCAGGCUGCACCGUCCUCUGGUGCUCUGGAUGCUGCUGCUGCCGUCGCUGCCAAAAUCAACGCCAUGCUGGUGGCUAAAGGCAAACUGAACCCAGCACAGAUCAACACACACACACCCGGGGACACGGCUGCAGGAGGAGGUGCUAAGAGCUCGGUGAAAGCGAGAGAUGACCUGGUGGUGGCUGAGGUGGAGAUAAACGAUGUACCACUCACUUGCAGGAAUCUACUGACCCGAGGACAAACACAGGACGAGAUCAGCAGGGUGAGUGGGGCAGCCGUGUCCACCAGAGGGCGCUUCAUGACUGCAGAGGAGAAGACUAAAGCUCUGCCCAGCGACCGUCCACUCUACCUCCACGUCCAAGGCCAAACCAGAGAGCUUGUGGACAAGGCUGUAAACAGGAUUAAGGAGCUCAUCACUAAUGGAGUGGUUAAAGCGGCAGUGUCUCAGCCCCCUCCCUCCAUGCUGCCUCCAUCAGGACCCAAACCUCACUGCGCUGGGGUGAAGGUGUUUGUGGGAUUGGACCAUGCUCUUCCUGGUUUCUCAGUGAAGGAAAGGGUGGAGGGACCGAACUGUUCUUACCUACAGCACAUUCAAAAUGAGACAGGUGCCAAGCUCUUCCUGCGGGGUCAAAGGUCAGGCUGCAUUGAGCCGGCGUCGGGGAGAGAGGCCUUCGAGCCCAUGCACAUCUAUAUCAGUCACCCCAAACCAGAGGGAGUCACUGCUGCUAAGACCCUGUGUGAGAACCUGCUGCAGACUGUACAUGCAGAGUAUUCUCGCUACCUGAGUGAAAUGAGUGCUGUGAUGCCCACGCAAGGUUUCCUCCCCCCUCCUGGGGUAAAUGGAAUGCCCCAGUAUUACCCCCCUAUUGUGCCCCCUGCGGCCCCAGCGCCCAAUCAUUACCCUCUUCCCCCUCCAACAGUAGUGCCCACAGUAGUGCCCACUGUAGCACCCGAGCCCACAGUGCCCCCUACUGCCCCGUACCACAUCACACACCCGCUCACGGCUAAUCUCGCACAGCCCCUCCCACCAGCAGUGUACCCACUUGUGGCUCCACCCCAACAUAUGACUCUAUCCCCAGUCAAACCUGCAGCUCCACCCCCUUCCAAGCCUGUGUCUCAGACAAAAUCAGUGGCUCCGCCCCCUGCACAGAAACGGCGCUUCACAGAGGAAGUGCCUGAGGAGAGUGAUAAUGGCCUGCUGGGAUACCAGCAUGGACCCAUUCAUGUGACUAAUUUAGGUUCAGGCUUCUCAGUGGGCAGCCCCGAGACUGCAGGACCCCAACACAACAUUUCUACUUCCUGUGGGGAGAGACCAGAGAGAGACAGUAGGCAGAUGAUGCCCCCACUACCCCUACCACUGAGCAGUGGAAUGAGAGAGCAGAAAAGUGAGGAGAGACUACACAGCUCCCUGGAUCCUCAGGUAAAGCGCAUCAGGACGGGGUUGGUAUCGUACUCUGGUGAUUCUUCUGAUGAAGAGGAGGAGCUUGCAUCUCAGAAAGUGGGUGAGGCCAGUGUGGCUGGCUCCUCCCCUUCAACAUGGACUGCUGGGACAUUCAGAUGCCCUGCCCCCUCUCAGCCACACCUCAAAACACAGACCACACAGUCAAUGCCUUUCUGGAUGGCGCCAUGAGAGGGAGGUGUAACACACACACACACACACACAUGCGCACGCGCACACACAUACACAUGCGCACACACACGCGCACACACACAGAAACACACUGGUGACAUUAUUAGUAGCUUUUCUUUUCUCUAGAUAUAUUGCACAGGAGACGCACAGCAGUGUGUUAGUACUAUCAUUUAAGAUUGGUUGAUCAAACGUGUCAAACUUAACUCCACCUUAGUCGACCCAGAGACACCUGUUACAUGGCAACAUCAACACACACACACACAUACUUCUGUUUCUCUCUGCAGUUUUGCUUACAGUGAGCAGGCACAAAGACUGAUUGAUGUGACAGGAAACGAUGUAACAGGCAGGAAGUGAUGUACAGGUGUAAAGUAAUGAACUGGACAGUCGGAGCCUGGAGCCAGGUAGGAGCAGGUACGUCAGGUAACUACAAGCAUGUACAUUUAACAUGGUGCAUUCACAACACUAACAUAAUUACUAUGAUCAAGUUUUCACAUCGUUUUAACUGUCUAAACCCACAACUUAUCUGUGUGCCUCACACAAUGUUUGUGACUGUCUCAGUCUCAUUGUCUGUCUUAUUGUCUCACUCUGUCUCUCACAUACUCCCUCACUGUCUUAUUUAUCAAACACUGUCUCUCUUUCAUGGUCUGUCUCAUUCUUCCACUGUCUGUCUCCUGGUCUCUGUGCCAUGGUUGUUAUCAAAAGUACAACCCCUGGCAACAGUUAUGUUAUAUCUCCACACUUACAGGAUGCUCACCAAGCUUUUUUACUUUUUAGCAAAUAAACAAUCACACACAUGACUCAGUCAUUUUUGGAUAAUAGCUGAAUGUUCUGACUAAUGAAAACAAUAUUCUACAUCAAACUUUCUCAAAUAGCAGUUGACAUGAGUUUUGGAGAAUGGAGCCUUGUUGUGGACCAAUCUUUUAAAUUGACACCAUAACCUUCUACACUCCUCUACACAUGUUUACACACUUUCAAACAUCUCACAACACCUCUGUAUACCUCUUCACAGCCCUCUACACACAUCUCUACACAUCUCUUCAUACCUCUACACAGCCUGCUACAUACCUCUCCAUAUGUCUACGAACCUCUCCACAACUUUCUUUUCAAUAACUUUUAGACUGAGUUACACAUGUAAAACCAAAUGCACUCGGAUGGAAUCUGCGAUCUGUUCUAUUAUUGUGAUCAACAAAACGCAACAUACCAAACUAUUAUUAAUAAUAUUUUAUGAAACAGGUUUUGACAGAUCCUGAUGACCUGCAGUUAGAAACUGUUCUUCAGUCAGUUGGUUCUGAAUUGAAUGCUUGUUGUUAUAUUUCUUCAUUUGAGUCUUAAAUAACUUAUGUUACCCACCUGACCCUCUACCUAUGAACAUCUGGAUGUAUCUUUGGCUGUGUAAUCUCUUUUUUUGAUUUGAUGGAAACACUUUCAUUGCUGAAACCUCUUAAAUAAAAACAAUGAGACCAACAUAGUGUGUCUACACACACUAUGUUGGAGAGUUGCAUGUUAAGAAUAUGUGUACAUGUGCAUGAUGGUGUCUGUGUAUUUGAUCACAUGUAUGUGAAUGUUCAUGAGUCUGAGUGUGAAAGUGCUCUCUAUACCACGGCUCCCUCAAUAAAACAAUUUCAAAUAAUAAAUUAGUCAGUAAAAUUGUGACACUACACGGGUUGGUAUAGAAAUGAGAUGGUUCAAUUGCAAAUGUAAACUCACGUAUCAUGGUUCAUACAGAAACACACCUACAUGGACUGAGUUGACAUCCUCCUUACCAGUCUCACGCAACAUAAAAUGAUUUAGGCAGUGGCUUCAUGAACAUUAUGGGAUGCUUGACUAUUGUCAAGGGCCUCCUUAAAAUGACUUGGGUUGCGACAAAGGGCUUUGUGAACAUCAUUAAAGGACACUUGAUUUGUUUUCAUGGUCAUCUAUAGUAUCGUUGAUGCC